rnacentral:snoRNA from 1 species
GCAUGGCUUUGGAUUUAUGGCAGGCUCGACACCUGGGCCUCCCACAGUGCCCCACGCCAGAGCAAACUGUAGCCCUGAACCACUGACUGGCCUCCUUGCUCAUAAUGGAAGUGGUCUGCACUGUG